CCUACGGGACGCACCAGCAAGGAAUUUUCCGCAAUGGGCGCAAGCCUGACGGAGCAACGCCGCGUGCGGGAGGACGCCUUUCGGGGUGUAAACCGCUGUUCGUGGGGACGAAGCACUGACGGUACCCACGGAGGAAGGCCCGGCUAACUACGUGCCAGCAGCCGCGGUAAUACGUAGGGGCCGAGCGUUGUCCGGAGUUACUGGCGUAAAGCGUGCGCAGGCGGCGCGUUCUGCCCGGCGUGAAAGCCCCCGGCUCAACCGGGGAACGUCGUCGGGGACGGGCGCGCUUGGGGGCGGCAGGGGCUGGUGGAAUUCCCGGUGUAGUGGAGAAAUGCGUAGAGAUCGGGAGGAACACCUGUGGCGAAGGCGGCCAGCUGGGCCGACCCUGACGCUGAGGCACGAAGGCGUGGGGAGCGAACGGGAUUAGAUACCCGGGUAGUC
rnacentral:rRNA from 1 species